rnacentral:rRNA from 1 species
CUCGAUACGACAUGUCACCGCAUGUGGUGGUGGAAGGUUUACUGUUUGAUGGCUCACGCCUAUCAGCUGUGUGGGGUAUGCUCACCAAGCGACGACGGUAGCCGCUGAGAGGGUGACCGGCCACACUGGGACUGAGACACGGCCCAGACUCCUACGGGAGGCAGCAGUGGGGAAUAUUGCACAAUGGGCGGAAGCCUGAUGCAGCGACGCCGCGUGAGGGAUGACGGCCUUCGGGUUGUAAACCUCUUUCAGCACGGAAGAAGCGAAAGUGACGGUACGUGCAGAAGAAGCGCCGGCUAACUACGUGCCAGCAGCCGCGGUAAUACGUAGGGCGCAAGCGUUGUCCGGAAUUAUUGGGCGUAAAGAGCUCGUAGGCGGUUUGUCGCGUCUGCUGUGAAAGCCCGGGGCUUAACCCCGGGUGUGCAGUGGGUACGGGCAGACUUGAGUGCAGUAGGGGAGACUGGAAUUCCUGGUGUAGCGGUGAAAUGCGCAGAUAUCAGGAGGAACACCGAUGGCGAAGGCAGGUCUCUGGGCUGUUACUGACGCUGAGGAGCGAAAGCAUGGGGAGCGAACAGGAUUAGAUACCCUGGUAGUCCAUGCCGUAAACGUUGGGCACUAGGUGUGGGGAACAUUCCACGUUUUCCGCGCCGUAGCUAACGCAUUAAGUGCCCCGCCUGGGGAGUACGGCCGCAAGGCUAAAACUCAAAGGAAUUGACGGGGGCCCGCACAAGCGGCGGAGCAUGCGGAUUAAUUCGAUGCAACGCGAAGAACCUUACCAAGGCUUGACAUACACCGGACCGGGCCAGAGAUGGUCUUUCCCCCUUGUGGGGCUGGUGUACAGGUGGUGCAUGCUGUCGUCAGCUCGUGUCGUGAGAUGUUGGGUUAAGUCCCGCACGAGCGCAACCCUCGUUCUAUGUUGCCAGCACGUGAUGGUGGGGACUCAUAGAGACUGCCGGGGUCAACUCGAAGAGGUGCGGAUGACGUCAAAUCAUCAUGCCCCUUAUGUCUUGGGCUUCACGCAUGCUACAAUGCCAGUACAAUGACUGGCGAUGCCGCGAGGGGAGCGAAUCCCAAAAAGCCAACCCCAGUUCGGAUCGUGGUCUGCAACUCGACCACGUGAAGUCGGAGUCGCUAGUAAUCGCAGAUCAGCAACGCU